rnacentral:ribozyme from 16 species
UUUUUUUUUUUUUUUUUUUUUUUCCAAUAAAUUCAAUUUUUAGAACUUUAUUGAAAAGUGUGAA